ACGACAGUCAAUAAGAAAUAUCUGUUAUCAUUGCAUAAGUGAUUGUUAUCUGUGACAUACAUAUAUUAGCAACAUUAGUUUUACGAGCAGUUAGUGAAACGAAUGGAGCAAACCGACAGAAGGCUGACCUAAGUGACACCGCCACGCAUAGACACUCACAUUACCAAAACACUCGCAAGUGCGUUGUCGAUCUUUUAAGAAUUGAAAACCUUCCGUUGAACAGUCUAAGAACACGGGUACGUGCGUUAGUGCCGCAAAAUUAUCGAUUUUCUUCGACAAACGUCAAUGAGUCACUUAAAAACAGUGUGUUGACGUCCUGAAGAGGGAGUGUUUCGGCCUUUAUCAGUGUUUCACGAUUGAUGAUAGACGGGUCAAAAAGACCCUCGAAUGGCCCAAUGGCAAGAAAAACGAAACGACGCCCACCAGAAACCUAGGAAGAUGGAAUAAAAGAGAUAGUAGUGAAAUUGUGACGAGGAUGAGACAAAUUGAAGGAUUUGGAGGCCUUCAUUA